rnacentral:tRNA from 1 species
GGGGUUGUAGCGCAGCUGGUUAGAGCGCCGGCCUGUCAGGCCGGAGGUCGCGGGUUCGAGCCCCGUCAAUCCCGCCA